GGCGCAUGCGCGGGGUGACGGGAUUAUCACCUCCCCUCCUGCUUGUGCUUAAGAACUUGAAGCAAGAUGAGCUUGCUGCUGGCAGCAUGGAAGGAGGGUUCACACAUGCACAGUUAGUUACCUGAUGUCAGAGCUCCGAAGACAAGUGUGCCAUCUAUGUCGUAAUGGACUUUAGUGGCGUUGGUUUCUUCCUUGCUUAGAAUGAGGCACUUUUUGUCAUUUGUGGAAACUUGCCUGUAAUUCAUUUUCCUCACUGCAG
rnacentral:lncRNA from 1 species